rnacentral:RNase_P_RNA from 1 species
UUAUCCUCGAGGAAAGUCCGAGCAUCACAGGACAGAAUACCUGUUAACGACAGGCGGAGGCGACUCCAGGGCUAGUGCAACAGAAAUAAACCGCCGAUUUUUCGGUAAGGAUGGAAAGGCGAGGUAAGAGCUCACCGGUGUGCAGGAGACUGCACAGCCAUGUAAACCCUAUUCGAUGCAACACCGACUAAGAUGUUAUCGUUGGUCCGACGGUCUUGACGGGUGGCAUUGAGCAUAUAUGGCGACAUUAUGCCAAGAUAGAUUACCGUAUUUAACAGAACUCGGCUUACAGAUUUGGUC